UUUACUUUUGCUUUUAUUUCCCUGGUCUUUGAGGUCAAGUUCACAAAAGGCUUUCUGAGACCAAGGUCCAUAAGUUUGGUAUUUAUGUUUUCUUAUAUGUAUUUUAUUGUUUCAGGUCUUAUAUUUAAGUCUGUAAUCCAUUUUGAGUUAAUUUUUGUGUGUGGUGUCAAAUAGCAGUCUAGUUUCAUUCUUUUGCGUGUGUCUUUCCAAAUUUUCCGACACUAUUGACAAGGCUUUCUUUCUCCAUUGUGUUUUUUGCUUCUUUGCCUAAAAUUAGUUGCCCAUAUACAUGAGGAUUUACUUUUGUUCUCUCAGUUCUGUUCCAUUGGUCUGUGUGUCUAUUUUUCUGCUAAUACCAUACUGUUUUGAUUAUUGUAGCAGCUCUUUCUUUAAAACUCUUUUUGUGCUUUUGUUAAUAACUCCCUGAUUCUUCUUGUGCUUUUCUGGCCUAUCCAGCCUCUCUGUGUCUUUCGCUGGGUCUUUAGAAAUGUGCCAGAAAAAGACAAGGAAAUGCCAUUCUCCCUUAUGUACUAGCAUUCCUAGGGGUCCCCUCCUCUCCCUGGCAAGCCUCCCCAACACCUGACUUCAGCUACAUCCAUUGGCUGAUGAAUCCCACAAUGGCAUUGGUGCCUUCCAUGGAACCCCAACCUUACCACAUCAAAAACGAAAUUCAUUUUCUCUUCCAAAUUCACUUGCCUUCUGCUUCCCCAAUCUUGCUUGUCAGCCAUUCGCCCGAUGGUCCAAGUCAGUAACCUGAAAGUUUAUGCUGGAUUUCUCCUUCCUACCUACAAUCCCCUGGGCCUAUCCUGCAUUGUUCUCAAGCAGCUCUUCCUUCUGUGCCUCCAGUUCAUCACGUGGCGUCUUUCAUUGGAAAUAUUGCGGCACUGGUACUUCUGUCCUGUCCUCAUCCUAUUUGUCUACAUUGCUGCAGAGCAAUCUUUCCAGUACAUGAUUCUGUUUAUGUGACCACACAGCUCAGAAUUUUUCAGAAGCUCUCUGUAGCCUGUGAGAUAAAGUAGAAAUUUAUUGGCAUCGCAUAUUAGGCUCCUCAUAGAUAUCCAGUUGUUGAUACACACAGACCCAGUGAAGAAUCCAGGACUGAAAAUCUAGCUCUGUAAGCAGAGGGCAGGGAAAGAUAGACGGAGGAGGCUAGCCACUCCAGUCCGGUAAUUUAUAUAGUUUAUUAAUGGACACAGUUCAUUAAAUACAUCUUAGGUGGCUUCAAUUCAGAAUGGAUUCCACACAGCUUGGCAGGAGCAAAGAAUCAUAUAGGAUAAAGGGGGGAUAGUCAUGGGUCCUAGCAUGUGAAAGCUACCAGGUAUGGGAAAUCACAUGCUGGACCAGGUCAGGACAAAGGCCUGUCCCAGGAACCAGCAUGCAGCAUGUAGCAGGGGAGGAGUGCUAGUUUAUGUCAGAACCGUCAUUGAUUACAGUCUCCGUUCAGGCCCUGGUCCAGUUUGCCUGCGGGUCUGACAGCGGCCGCGCCCUGGAACAGUUUCUCCACAUCAGCCUGAACUGCCUCGGGUUGAGUGAUAUCGUGAUAAAUACAGUGCAUUUUCAAGGGGAUCCCACUCUCUGAGCAUGGAGCUUGGCCAAGAAGGCAGCCUCUGGGUCUCCAAGGCCACUGUUCUGCAUUGCAAGUCCCAGUGUCAGCCCUUGUUUCCCAGAGCACCUCCGGCACCAGGGAAGCAAAAACUGGUGGGGCUUGUUGCAUGUGCUAUGGACUGGCUGAAAUAGCGUCGUAACUGUUGAGCUCUGGCAUUGGAGGGAGCACUUUCCUUAAACUUCUCAUGCGAAUUUAUCUAGCUCCGUCAGCAAUGACCUGGGCCCCAGAAUAAGGCUGCCCAGACUCAGCUGCCCCUACCAGUUAUUUAUUUAUCAGUUAGCUAUUUUUAAAAUCUUACGAUCAGAAAUCAUCAGCUCUUUACUAUAUCUAUGUAUUAUAUUUAUUAUAUUUAUUUUUAGCUUUACAUAUUUAGCGAGCUUUCCCUGCUUUGCUGUCUCCCACCUCCCUAAUCUAUAACCAGUGGAUUUCAUUUAACCCCUUUAUGUCUCCUCUUUUGAUUGUAAUGUAUAAAAUAAGGGGCAAAGCUGCCAUUCUCUGGGGCAUUUUCUCAGUCCCUUGAGACUUUGCUUCCCCGCAAUUGUCAACAGUUUGGCUCAAAUAAACUCACAAAAAUUC